GGUCCCGUCUGGCUCAGUUGGUAGAGCGUAGCGUUUUCAACGCCAGGGUUGUGGGUUCAAUUCCCACAGGGGACCA